ACUCAAAGGAAUUGACGGGGGCCCGCACAAGCGGUGGAGCAUGUGGCUUAAUUCGAGGCAACGCGAAGAACCUUACCUGGGUUUGACAUGCACAGGACCGGGCGUGAAAGCGCUCUUCUCUUCGGAGUCUGUGCACAGGUGCUGCAUGGCUGUCGUCAGCUCGUGCCGUGAGGUGUUCGGUUAAGUCCGGCAACGAGCGCAACCCGUACCAUCAGUUGCUAACAGGUCAUGCUGAGAACUCUGGUGGGACUGCCCGUGUCAAGCGGGAGGAAGGCGCGGAUGACGUCAAGUCAGUAUGGCCCUUACACCCAGGGCUGCACACGUGCUACAAUGGUCGGUACAGUGGGCUGCGACCUCGCGAGAGGAAGCCAAUCCUGAAAGCCGACCUCAGUUCGGAUUGUAGUCUGCAACUCGACUACAUGAAGCCGGAAUCGCUAGUAAAGGCGUAUCAGCUACGACGCCUUGAAUACGUUCCCGGGCCUUGCACACACCGCCCGU
rnacentral:rRNA from 1 species